ACGGGAGGCAGCAGUGGGGAAUAUUGCACAAUGGGGGAAACCCUGAUGCAGCGACGCCGCGUGAGUGAAGAAGUAUUUCGGUAUGUAAAGCUCUAUCAGCAAGGAAGAAAAUGACGGUACUUGACUAAGAAGCUCCGGCUAAAUACGUGCCAGCAGCCGCGGUAAUACGUAUGGAGCAAGCGUUAUCCGGAUUUACUGGGUGUAAAGGGAGCGUAGACGGCAAAGCAAGUCUGAAGUGAAAUCUAUGGGCUCAACCCAUAAACUGCUUUGGAAACUGUUUAGCUAGAGUGCAGGAGAGGUAAGUGGAAUUCCUAGUGUAGCGGUGAAAUGCGUAGAUAUUAGGAGGAACACCAGUGGCGAAGGCGGCUUACUGGACUGUAACUGACGUUGAGGCUCGAAAGCGUGGGGAGCAAACAGGAUUAGAUACCCUGGUA
rnacentral:rRNA from 1 species